AGAGAUUUAAGUUAAUAAAACUAAUAGCCUUCAAAGCUUUAAUUGAUAUUAAAAAUCAAUCUCUAC
rnacentral:tRNA from 1 species